rnacentral:rRNA from 1 species
GGGGAAUAUUGCACAAUGGGGGAAACCCUGAUGCAGCGACGCCGCGUGAGUGAAGAAGUAUUUCGGUAUGUAAAGCUCUAUCAGCAGGGAAGAAAAUGACGGUACCUGAGUAAGAAGCCCCGGCUAACUACGUGCCAGCAGCCGCGGUAAUACGUAGGGGGCAAGCGUUAUCCGGAUUUACUGGGUGUAAAGGGAGCGCAGACGGCUCUGCAAGUCUGAAGUGAAAGCCCGCGGCUUAACCGCGGGACUGCUUUGGAAACUGCAAGGCUUGAGUAUCGGAGGGGCAGGCGGAAUUCCUAGUGUAGCGGUGAAAUGCGUAGAUAUUAGGAAGAACACCGGUGGCGAAGGCGGCCUGCUGGACGAAAACUGACGUUGAGGCUCGAAGGCGUGGGGAGCAAACAGGAUUAGAUACCCUGGUAGUCCACGCGGUAAACGAUGAAUACUAGGUGUUGGUGCCCGAAGGGCAUCGGUGCCGUCGCAAACGCAAUAAGUAUUCCACCUGGGGAGUACGUUCGCAAGAAUG